UACGGAGGAUCCAAGCGUUAUCCGGAUUUAUUGGGUUUAAAGGGUGCGUAGGCGGCUUAUUAAGUCAGGGGUGAAAGACGGUGGCUCAACCAUCGCAGUGCCCUUGAUACUGAUGAGCUUGAAUACACUUGAGGUAGGCGGAAUGUGACAAGUAGCGGUGAAAUGCAUAGAUAUGUCACAGAACACCAAUUGCGAAGGCAGCUUACUAAGGUGCAAUUGACGCUGAGGCACGAAAAGCGUGGGGGAUCAAAACAGG
rnacentral:rRNA from 1 species